rnacentral:rRNA from 1 species
UACGGGGGGAGCAAGCGUUGUUCGGAUUUACUGGGCGUAAAGGGCGCGUAGGCGGCCAGCACAAGUCAGUUGUGAAAUCUCCGAGCUUAACUCGGAACGGUCAACUGAUACUGUGCGGCUAGAGUGCGGAAGGGGCAACUGGAAUUCUUGGUGUAGCGGUGAAAUGCGUAGAUAUCAAGAGGAACACCUGCGGCGAAGGCGGGUUGCUGGGCUGACACUGACGCUGAGGCGCGAAAGCCAGGGGAGCGAACGGG